CCUACGGGCGGCUGCAGUGGGGAAUAUUGGACAAUGGGCGAAAGCCUGAUCCAGCAAUGCCGCGUGAGUGAUGAAGGCCUUAGGGUCGUAAAGCUCUUUUACCAGGGAUGAUAAUGACAGUACCUGGAGAAUAAGCUCCGGCUAACUCCGUGCCAGCAGCCGCGGUAAUACGGAGGGAGCUAGCGUUGUUCGGAAUUACUGGGCGUAAAGCGCACGUAGGCGGCUACUCAAGUCAGAGGUGAAAGCCCGGGGCUCAACCCCGGAACUGCCUUUGAAACUAGGUAGCUAGAAUCUUGGAGAGGCGAGUGGAAUUCCGAGUGUAGAGGUGAAAUUCGUAGAUAUUCGGAAGAACACCAGUGGCGAAGGCGACUCGCUGGACAAGUAUUGACGCUGAGGUGCGAAAGCGUGGGGAGCAAACAGGAUUAGAUACCCCAGUAGUC
rnacentral:rRNA from 1 species